UACGUAGGGUGCGAGCGUUGUCCGGAAUUAUUGGGCGUAAAGAGCUUGUAGGCGGUUUGUCGCGUCUGCCGUGAAAAUCCGGGGCUCAACCCCGGACUUGCGGUGGGUACGGGCAGACUAGAGUGUGGUAGGGGAGACUGGAAUUCCUGGUGUAGCGGUGAAAUGCGCAGAUAUCAGGAGGAACACCGGUGGCGAAGGCGGGUCUCUGGGCCGAUAUCGACGCUGAGGAGCGAAAGCGUGGGGAGCGAACAGG
rnacentral:rRNA from 1 species